rnacentral:rRNA from 1 species
AGCAGCCGCGGUAAUUCCAGCUCCAAUAGCGUAUAUUAAAGUUGUUGCAGUUAAAAAGCUCGUAGUUGAAUUUCGGGAUCAAUAUGUCGGUCGUGCUUUUUGGUACGUACUGGCGUCAUUGGUUUCUCCUUUCUGACGAACCAUGAUGUCAUUAAUUUGGUGUCAUGGGGAAUCAGGACUGUUACUUUGAAAAAAUUAGAGUGUUUAUAGCAGGCUCACGCUUGAAUACAUUAGCAUGGAAUAAUGAAAUAGGACGUUUGACCCUAUUUUGUUGGUUUCUAGGAUCGACGUAAUGAUUAAUAGGGAUAGUUGGGGGGCAUUAGUAUUCAAUUGUCAGAGGUGAAAUUCUUGGAUUUAUUGAAGACUAACUACUGCGAAAGCAUUUGCCAAGGAUGUUUUCAUUAAUCAAGAACGAAAGUUAGGGGAUCGAAGACGAUCAGAUACCGUCGUAGUCUUAACCAUAAACUAUGCCGACUAGGGAUCGGAUGAUGUUAAUUUUUUAAUGACUCAUUCGGCGCCU